AUGGCAAGAAUGAAAAAGACAUAUAUGAUGGAUUGGCUAGUGUGGCUGGGCCUUCGGGCCCCGCUGGGCGGGCGUUGGGGCUUCACUUCCAAGGUGGAUCCGCAGGGAAGUGGCCGAGUCACCGCCGAGGUGAUGGAGCACCUGGAGCGUCUAGCGCUCGUGGACUUCGGCAGCCGCGAGGCGGUGGCGUGGCUGGAGAAAGCCAUCGCCUUCGCCGACCGGCUCCACGCCGUGCACACGGACGGGGUGGAACCCAUGGAGUCCGUACUGGAGGACAGAUGUCUAUACUUGAGAUCCAACAAUGUAGUUGAAGGCAACUGUACUGAAGAACUACUACACAACUCUCAUCAUGUCGUGGAAGAGUAUUUUGUGGCCCCCCCAGUAAUAUCUCUUUGCCAAAGCUGGAUGAACAAGAGCCCUUCCUGCACAGCUGAGUAGUUAUUCUGGGAAGGGGGUACUCUGUGGAUACAUGGAAGCGCAAUAAUGGUUUUGUUAUUGUGAACACUAACGUUCCCACUUUUGGUCACCUAAAAAAAUGGAGGCUCAAGCAUUUCUUAGUAACUGACUCUUCUGAAGACAGAUUGGGAAAGAGCUAGCCAAAACAAGGCAAUGAGUUCCUGAUGCUAAUGGAAAUAAAAGGAAAGAGCAAAAGUCAGUUUCCAAGGAAACGGUCAAGUAUUCACUUAACAGACCUGUUCAGUAUGGAAGACAUUGUCUUUCUUUAUCUUCCCCCAA